rnacentral:rRNA from 1 species
AACGAACGCUGGCGGCAGGCUUAACACAUGCAAGUCGAACGCCCGGGGCAACCCGGGAGUGGCAGACGGGUGAGUAACGCGUGGGAACAUGCCCUUGGGUUCGGAACAACGUUUGGAAACGGACGCUAAUACCGGAUACGCCGUGUGAACGGGAAAGGCUUUGCUGCCUGAGGAGUGGCCCGCGUUUGAUUAGCUGGAUGGCGGGGUAACGGCCCACCAUGGCGACGAUCGAUAGCUGGUCUGAGAGGAUGGCCAGCCACAUUGGGACUGAGACACGGCCCAAACUCCUACGGGAGGCAGCAGUGGGGAAUAUUGGACAAUGGGCGCAAGCCUGAUCCAGCCAUGCCGCGUGAGUGAUGACGGCCUUAGGGUUGUAAAGCUCUUUCGCCCGCGACGAUAAUGACGGUAGCGGGAGAAGAAGCCCCGGCUAACUUCGUGCCAGCAGCCGCAGUAACAC